rnacentral:rRNA from 1 species
AUUGAACGCUGGCGGCGUGCUUAACACAUGCAAGUCGAUCGGUAACGCGGGGGCAACCCUGGCGACGAGAGGCGGACGGGUGAGGAACGCUUGGGAAUCUGCCUAUCAGCGGGGGACCACCCGGGGACACUCGGGCUAAUACCGCAUACGCUCUACGGAGGAAAGCCGGGGACCGCAAGGCCUGGCACUGAUAGAUGAGCCCAAGUCGGAUUAGCUAGUUGGCGGGGUAACGGCCCACCAAGGCGACGAUCCGUAGCUGGUCUGAGAGGACGAUCAGCCACACUGGGACUGAGACACGGCCCAGACUCCUACGGGAGGCAGCAGUGGGGAAUAUUGGACAAUGGGGGAAACCCUGAUCCAGCGACGCCGCGUGGGUGAAGAAGGCCUGCGGGUUGUAAAGCCCUUUCGGUAGGGACGAAAGCUCUCGACCUAACACGUCGGGAGGUUGACUUAACCUACAAAAGAAGCACCGGCUAACUCUGUGCCAGCCGCCGCCGUAAUAC